rnacentral:lncRNA from 1 species
CUUUGGCAGACCUGAAACAUUUCGGAAAGGAAGCUGGUGUUUUGGGGGCAGUGAUGGCUGAAUGCAUGACCUUGUCAUAUACGUAAAACAUCCACAGACUAACUGGAAAAGGACUUCACCUCAGCCAAAGGCCUUCAAGAGGAUCAAUAUUUCCAGGAUGUUGGUAUUAGCAUCCAUUGUUCGCUGGCUAGAUCUUUUCCAACAGAGCAUGUGACUCUCGUCAUUACAGCAGAG